GGAGCCAGUCUUCCCAAGGUGAAAUCCUAACUUUGCCACUUACUAGCCAUGUGAACUUGGGCAAGUGACCUAAUCCUCUGCAUUUCAUCUCUAAAUUGGGGAGAAUAGAAGCAUCUACUUCAUGUAGUAGCCAGGAUUAGAAGAGAUGGGGCCACUUGAGGGAAAAGACCUACCCAAGGGCACAUAAUCUGUACAUGAGAGAGAGCCAGAUGUAACAGACUGAGUACUGGACUUGGGGUUAAACAGACUGUGAAUCUUUCCACCCCAUUGGGAGGAAUAACUGGGCCCUGGAUAGAAUGUGAUGAAUGUAUAUUCUUAAUGAGAAGUGGAAAUAAUUUGUGGUUGAGAGCUGUGCCUCAGAUCAGAGUGACAGGAUACAUGGCUAGGCUAUAUUUUCCAGCAGAUUAAGAGCUGCGGCCCAAGACUCUGAAAUAUGAAGAAAAAAGGAGAAGAUGACAGCAUAUCUUUUUAAAGAAAUAUUUUCCAGCCAAAUGGUGUAGCAGAGGACUUCCAGGAAUUUGUUCUUGUUCUGUAUCAAAGGUGAAGAGUUCGUAGCCUUCAAGGAAACAAGAAACCAUGGGAUGGAGUGAAGGAAGGUGGCCUGGAACCAGCUGCUGAGCCUCUCUGAGCCCCAGUUUCCUCGUCUCUAAAAUGGGGCUGAUCUCCUCUCCCUCAGACUGUUGUUGCAGGAAUUAAAACAGGUGUUGAGUGGGAAAGCAUCAGUCCCAUAGCAAAUGGCCCCUGAGUAGUAGGAUCUGAGUUCUGGUUCUGGUCCUGCUGGGGUAUGGCUGGUUGAGAGGUCAAAGAGGUAAUUAAAGGGAUUGCCAGCUUCAUUAUUGGGAGCUGAGAUUCCAUUUUAGACCAAGAGUGUGACCAAGGUGGUAACCUUAACAUUUCAUUUCUUCAUAUUUAUUUAUUGAGCCGAUAUUUUUCAAG
rnacentral:lncRNA from 10 species